GGAACUGAACCCGGCACCCCUGCCUUGCGAGUCUGCUGGAGGAGCGGAUCUGAAGGGCGAGCCCGGGUUGCGGAGCUUUUGACACCUUUUCGGAGCAGGCGGGCUCAAGAAGAUUUGGGUUCGGAUUCUGCCAAACGGGGCUGGUUUCUCCUCCCCCAUUGCAUCCCACUGCUGGGCCCCCCUUGGGCUGAAAUCAGUCAGUGGGGGCACUGCCCAUUCUCACACUUGGGAAGCACUUGAAGCUCCCCUUCAGCCGGCUGGCCCCUCCAAUCCAACCCCCACCCCCAAAGCAGACUGCAGGGGAGAGAUGCCCUUGAGUGGCCAUUCUGGGGACUGCCAGAGCCCCACCCUGCCCCUCUCAGAGAUUUAAAGGGCUUAGUUUCUCAUUUCAGCCCAGAGAUUUCUUGGUGGCCUCCCAUCCUAGAAUAAACCAGCCCAUCAAUCCUGGCUUGGAUUUUUCAAGCUCAACCGAGGUUGAGUAGCUGCUACAGUUCCUGGAGAGCCAACCUGGUCACCCCACGGCACCCUGGGAGAAUCAGUGCAGGAGAGAGAAUCCCAACUGAGCCCAAAACUUACCUUGGUAAGCGAGACAGUUCUUAAGUGAGUUUUCCUCCGUGUUAUGACCUUUCUCAACACGGUCAUUAAGUGAAUCCCCCAUUGACUUUGCUUGUUAGAAGAUCACAAGAGGCGAUCUCGGGACACUGCGACCUCGGGACACUGCGACCGUCGUAAACACGAGUCAGUUUUGCCAAGCAGCUGAAUUUUGAUCACGUGACCCUGGGGACGCUGCAACGGUCGUAAGUGUGAAAAACAGCCCUGAGUCGCUUUUUUCAGUGCAGUUGUAACUUCGAACGGCCAGUAAAUGAAGUGGUGUAAGUCGAGGACUAUCUAAGCAGGCUUAGUUUCCCAAAAUCAGCAGUUGUGGUGCUGACCUGUUGUGCCGUCUCCCCGCCAGAGCUGCUCCCCCAUCGACCCAGGAGUUGGAGCCUCCGCCUGGCCUUCCGAGUCAGCCUCACGUGGCACAUCAGGGAUCAGCUCAUAAAGACUUGAAUACAGGGAGUCCUUGCUUAACGACCAGUUGUGAUGCAAUGUGGCUGCUCGGAAAAUGGGGGCGGCUUCCAGAUCAUGCCAUGAAGCCCAAGAACGGAGGGGCCUGUCUUCCUUCCCUGCCCAACUCUGCUAGGUGUCUUUUCACCAGGAGACGAGGGAAGAUUUUGAUGGGUGCCUGCUACCUGCUCUUAACACACGGCAGCGAAACGUGGACACUAACCUCACAAUCGAUACAAAAGCUACAAGUGGCACCAAGAGCCGCAGAAAGAUAGAUGCUCAGCAUCCCAAGAGAAGAUAGAAAGCCCCACGCUUGGACUAGAGCAGGGAUCUCC